GUCCUGGAGGACCAUCCCGACAGGUGUCCGUCCUUCUUUUUAGUCACCAGGCUGAGCUGGAUCGCGGGGACCCAACUGCAUCCCUCCCAGCGCCCCUGUCCCCCAACUCUAGGAGCGACGGGGUGUGUAGAGGUGCGGCAGGGGCCACACCAUCCUCUAGAGGAGGGCAGGAGGCGCUGGCGCGUGCGAGGAGGUCCCAGGGUUAAAAGAAACACUUGAAUUGGAAUGUUAGAACAGACAAAUGAGCCCCCGCUGCCGGGGCCUGCUCUCCGGACUUUUCCACCGAAGCUCAGAGGCCCGUGGACAGUUCAUACGCCACAUAGAUCAAGGCUCUGCACUGUGCCCCGGCCAAGUAACUCAAUUGGUUAGAGUGUCAUCCUGGUACACCAAGGUUGCGGGUUCGAUGCCAAUCAGAGCACAUACAAGACUCAACCAAUGAAUGUGUGAAUAAGUGAAGCAACAAUUGAUGUUUCUCUCCCCCUCCCAUUACUCUGUCUUUAAAGUCAACAACAAUAACAACAACAAUAAUAAAAGACUCUGCAUGUGUGAAGUCGUAAAGUUGCUCUGUCACCCUGCCCGGAGUUCUUUGCAGUCUCAGAUACUCUCUCAGAGCCCAGAGAGACGCAGAGGGCGAUGCCCAUGACAGCGCACGUGUUAACGUGUCCUCACAACAGGCAGAGUGUAGUGGCCUGACAUCUGUGCCAGGGAUUGUGGAAAAAAGUGAUGCUGCUGUUGGGGCAGAACCUGUCUUCUUGACUAAGAAACCUGGCAGCAGACGCGCCCCGAGGGCCGAGUUCUGCGGUGUCCGUCCCAGCUUGGCCGGCCCCUGUGCCUUGGGGUUCCUGGACCAGAAUGCGAGAUGCCGUGGGCUGGCACAGGGUAGGCAGUUGCUGAGGACAAAGAUGCUCUGGGAAGAUGGGCUGCGUCACAGAGAGAAGGGCAGGCGCUACCUAGUGGUGGGGACUGGGCUGGAGGAUUCCAAGAAUUUUGAGAAAACAGAGCAACCUAUUGUUUUGUUCUUGAGUCUGGAAUUGCACUUAAUGUACUGGCCACACAAAGUACUGUACUGUGACCACUUCCAAGAUCAACUGCAGAUGAGAAUAAAAAGCAGGAAAUAGUGCAGCUUGUCCCAAGUAAGGAAGGUGACAGAAACCCGUCUUCCCUCCCCAAAGAGGCUCCUACUAGAGAAUAAAGGUCCAUGUGAUAACUGGGUCCAAUUUCCACCCUCAUACCUAAUUCCAUAAGUAUGUUAAGAAUUAAGGAUUUUUCUCUGAUUGAAGCAGAGGUAUACAGAGCAGCAGGCUCUGGCGGUGAUGGGGUUCCUCUCUGCAGCUGGAGGAAACUGCCCCUUUCAGGGGGCAGGGAGGAGCAGGUGAGUGGGUGCUGGAUUCCAUGGGCCAGAAUCUGAGCGGGUUCCUUUUACCACCUGAGCUUCAAGAAAUGGCCUCAUUCUCCAGGAGGCUGCCAUUGGAGACA